GUGAAUCAUCGAAUUUUUGAACGCAAAUUGCACUCUCUGCGAAGAGUAGGCCUAUUUGAGUGUCAGCCUAAAAAAAAACGACAUAGUUGCUUGUGCUCGGUAACAUUCGUCAGAAAUUUGGUCAUCUUAAACCUUUUGUGUUAAGCGGCUUGAAAUUUUCUUUACGAUGCCAGGAACGUUUCGAAGUGUUUAUUUUCUUAUACGUUUAAGGUAUCUAGCUUUAUUAGACGUGGCCCUGUCAUC
rnacentral:misc_RNA from 1 species